UACGGAGGAUGCAAGCGUUAUCCGGAAUGAUUGGCGUAAAGCGUCCGCAGGUGGCAAUGUAAGUCUGCUGUCAAAGCGUCUGGCUCAACCAGAUAAAGGCAGUGGAAACUACAUAGCUAGAGUAAGGUAGGGGUAGAGGGAAUUCCUGGUGUAGCGGUGAAAUGCGUAGAGAUCAGGAAGAACACCGGUGGCGAAAGCGCUCUGCUGGACCUUAACUGACACUGAGGGACGAAAGCUAGGGGAGCGAAUGGG
rnacentral:rRNA from 1 species